CCCCACAAAGGCCGCGACCCCGUCGCCGCCCUCACAGGGACCUCCCGGCCACCCCAGGUCCCACGGUAUCCCGCCACGCUCACUUCUUGUCAGGGCAGAUCCAGUCCCCGUCACUGACUCGGAAAUUCUUGGUCGACAUCUUGGACGCCAGCAGCAGUGCCGCCCGCAGCGACGUCCCCACCGGAGCCGCGGGGGCCUCGCGCCGGGCUGUCCUCGCGCCGCCGGACCCGCCCUUCCCUGGGGUGGGGGAGAACUCACACCGCCGGACCGCGAGCCUGGAGCAGCGGUGCGGAGACGACGCCCAGGAGCCAGCAGCCCGUCCUGAGGCUCUGCUUCGCUUCGGCCUUACCGAGCUCCUGAGCAGGCGUUGUGAGGACAGCCCGGCCCGGCGGCCAUCGCAGCCGAGUUCUCCGCAGGCCGAAGGACCCUAGAGAAAGGCGCUUCCGUUUCCGGGGCGGGGCUAGGGCGCAGAGGCGGAAGUGACUCGGCGCGGCUCGAUAGCCCACGGGCUUGCGCGUUGCCUAGGGUUUACUGGGGCGAGCAAUAAGCAAGCAAUCCUGGGGUUGGCAUCACAGGCUCAGUCUUGCGGAACCAGUGUCAACAUAUAUGCUUUAAAUGCCUCCACUAAAGCCAAACCACAACAGUCAAAGGAGGAGCCUAAGAGGGGUCUAAGAAGAGGGAUUUCAUGGAAUGUUGGGUAUUGUCCAGGGCUUUCUCACAGCUCCUAGAGACGGACCUCAGACGUGCAUCACGUGGACCUCUGAAAAAACCAUGGAGCUCAUUGCUCCAAAGCCAACUGGAGAGCUUCUCCCAAUCCUGCUGCUGCUGCUGUUACAGCUGCUUACAACAGCCAUUGUCGUGGCUAGAGUCUUAUAUUCACUGUGACACCAUAGGAGAAAUGAUUCCACUUUUGCUGUCUUACAUGACCUAAUAAAAGGAGGCACAUCCCAUUAUACUCUCAAACCCUGUCUGCACUCAGGGAGAGGUUAUAACCUCAUUAAGGAUCUUUGGAGCCAUUUUUUAGGUCUUGGCAACCAUGGUUCUUGAAUGGGUAACUGCUGGCAGAACAUGAAAUCCUUCCUAAACUGAUUGUCCACUUUUUUCUUUGACAUUCUCUUGAGAACAGCCACUAGUUUCUCAGUGUGCUUAGCAAAUAUGAAUUUACAAUAUAAAUCAAUAUGGACAUUCAUGUUUCACAGACUUCAAAAUUACAUCUAUGAGCAUAUUUUGUCACAUAGUCUUCCUUACAAUUUAAAAUAAA
rnacentral:lncRNA from 1 species